GCUGUCAGGCUCCGGCACCUUCCAGUCCAACUUCCUGCCCUUCUCAUAGAGCCCCUUGAGCACCUUGCGGAAGUCCUCGGGCUCGGCCCCAGGUGGGCUCAGCUCCAGGUACUUGCGGUAGAGCUGCAGAGCUGUGCGCGCGUCCUCGAUGCUGUCGUGGGUCUCACCCUGGAUCUUGAGCCAACACUGAAGCACUGACCGAGGAAGUACCAGGCCAGGAAGCGCAGGGAGAUCAUCCUCUUCCUGGGGAUGUGGAACAGGUUGAUGACUCGGAAGUCCUUCUGCAGCCCGUGCCCCACAAACUUGACCCCCACGUCGAUGAGGAAACGCAGCUUCAGGUAUGUGGAUUUGAGGGUGGUCAGAUGCUUGGAGGAGAUCUUGGCAUCCAGGUCUCCAGGUUUGAUCCCCGAGUACUGGGUCAGGUAAUCCACCACCUGCCGGGAGCAGAGCCCAUGGGACGGCUGCAGCCUCCCCUCCUGCCCUGCCAGCAUCCCAAGGUGGGUGCUGGCAUUGCCGUGGGUGCCCCUCCAUGGACCUGGUCCCUCCUGUGACCCCAUAGGAGGGGCAGAACGGGUCCAUGUCCUUGUGGGGUCCAGGCAGGACCUCCUGUACCUGCUCCUGUGUGGAGAUGUAGUCAUCGAUGAAGGGGACGCCCUCGUUGGGGCCCUGCCCGCGCACACACGUGAUCCUGGCCACCGACAUCUGGCUGGGCUUGAUGGUGGAUUUGGUGCCAUCGCUGCGGAGCUCGGCCUCCUCCUGCGGUGGGGAUGGGGCAGCUCAGAGCCACCCUAUGGGGCUGCCCCAGUGCCCCUGACCCCAUCCCAGGGACCUGACCUCGUUCAAGGUGACGAACUCAGCAUCCAGCCCCACCAGGUCUCCAGCCUGUGGCAUCUCACUCAGCAGCAGUGGGAUGAAGGUAGCGUGGCACUUGCGCUGCUUGCGCGCCAGCGACGCCUCCGCCAGCAGCACACUGGCCUCAAUGGGGUUCUUGACUGCCAGGGGAUGGGGAUGGGGCUGAGCCCUAUGGCAGAGCCAGCACUGGUGCCCCACUCCCA